rnacentral:rRNA from 1 species
AGUGAACGCUGGCGGUAGGCCUAACACAUGCAAGUCGAACGGCAGCACAGUAAGAGCUUGCUCUUACGGGUGGCGAGUGGCGGACGAGUGAGGAAUACAUCGGAAUCUACUUUUUCGUGGGGGAUAACGUAGGGAAACUUACGCUAAUACCGCAUACGACCUACGGGUGAAAGCAGGGGAUCUUCGGACCUUGCGCGAUUGAAUGAGCCGAUGUCGGAUUAGCUAGUUGGCGGGGUAAAGGCCCACCAAGGCGACGAUCCGUAGCUGGUCUGAGAGGAUGAUCAGCCACACUGGAACUGAGACACGGUCCAGACUCCUACGGGAGGCAGCAGUGGGGAAUAUGGGACAAUGGGCGCAAGCCUGAUCCAGCCAUACCGCGUGGGGGAAGAAGGCCUUCGGGUUGUAAAGCCCUUUUGUUGGGAAAGAAAAGCAGCAGGUUAAUACCCCGCUGUUCUGACGGUACCCAAAGAAUAAGCACCGGCUAACUUCG